rnacentral:rRNA from 1 species
GACGUAGGGCGCGAGCGUUGUCCGGAUUUAUUGGGCGUAAAGAGCUCGUAGGCGGCUCAGUAAGUCAGGUGUGAAAACUCCAGGCUCAACCUGGAGACGCCAUCUGAUACUGCUGUGGCUAGAGUCCGGUAGGGGAGCAUGGAAUUCCUGGUGUAGCGGUGAAAUGCGCAGAUAUCAGGAGGAACACCAGUGGCGAAGGCGGUGCUCUGGGCCGGAACUGACGCUGAGGAGCGAAAGCGUGGGGAGCAAACAGG